rnacentral:rRNA from 2 species
UACGUAGGUGGCGAGCGUUAUCCGGAAUUAUUGGGCGUAAAGGGUGCGUAGGCGGUCUGUUAAGUUCAUGGUCAAAUUGUGGGGCUCAACCCCAUCGCGCCAUGGAUACUGGCAGACUAGAGUAUUGGAGAGGCAAGUGGAAUUCCAUGUGUAGCGGUAAAAUGCGUAGAUAUAUGGAGGAACACCGGUGGCGAAGGCGACUUGCUAGCCAAAGACUGACGCUGAGGCACGAAAGCGUGGGGAGCAAAUAGG